rnacentral:tRNA from 1 species
GGCCCCGUAGCUCAGAGGAUAGAGCAACCGCCUCCUAAGCGGUAGGUCGAAGGUUCGACUCCUUCCGGGGCCGCCA